GAUGAUCGCUGGCUUCGUGCCUAAUACACGCAAGUCGAGCGAACAGACUAAUAGCUUUCUCCUCUAACGUUAGCCGCGAACGGGUUAGUAACACGGGGAUAACCUACCUAUAAGGCUGCAAUCACUGCGAGAAACCGGAGCUGCUGCGGGAUAAUAGAUUAAACCGGAUGGUUCAAUAGUUAAAGACGGUUUUCAUGUCCAUGAUAGAUGGAUCCGCGCCGCAUUAGCUAGUUGGUAAGGUCACGGCUUACCAAGGCAACGAUGCGUAGCCGACCUGAGCGGGUGAUCGGCCACACUGGAACUGAGACACGGACCAGAAUACUACGGGAGGCAGCAGUAGGGAAUGUUCCGCAAUGGGCGAAAGCCUGACGGAGCAACGCCGCGUGAGUGAUGAAGGUCUUCGGAUCGUAAAACUCUGUUAUUAGGGAAGAACAAAUGUGUAAGUAACUAUGCACGUCUUGAGGGUACCUAAUCAGAAAGCCACGGCUAAGUACGUG
rnacentral:rRNA from 1 species